AACGAACGCUGGCGGCAGGCUUAACACAUGCAAGUCGAACGCAUCGCAAGAUGAGUGGCAGACGGGUGAGUAACGCGUGGGAAUCUACCCAGUUCUACGGAACAACAGUUGGAAACGACUGCUAAUACCGUAUACGCCCUACGGGGGAAAGAUUUAUCGGAAUUGGAUGAGCCCGCGUAAGAUUAGCUAGUUGGUGGGGUAAUGGCCUACCAAGGCGACGAUCUUUAGCUGGUCUGAGAGGAUGAUCAGCCACACUGGGACUGAGACACGGCCCAGACUCCUACGGGAGGCAGCAGUGGGGAAUAUUGGACAAUGGGCGCAAGCCUGAUCCAGCCAUGCCGCGUGAGUGAUGAAGGCCUUAGGGUUGUAAAGCUCUUUCACCGAUGAAGAUAAUGACGGUAGUCGGAGAAGAAGCCCCGGCUGACUUCGUGCCAGCAGCCGCCGCCGUAA
rnacentral:rRNA from 1 species